UAGGUAAUGAAAGGUGAUUUUAAGACUCCAGUUAAUUUGAAAGGCUACCCUAAGGUAUUCCAGAAUGCAUCCGAAUUUCAUAGAUGAAGCUAUGACUGAGUGAAUGAAGUGGCUAUUAAUGUCUAACCUUAGAGGAUAUACAAGACAUUAAACAGAGACGUCUAUAAAUAAGAUUGUCCCUUCUGGAGCUUCUCAAAGCCUUUCACAUUCGUUGGAGACAGUGCUGUCCCCUUAAUGGACUUAAAACCACUAUUUACUGAUGUCUGCCAGAACUAAAACUAUCCACAGAAAUAUGUACGCUUAAGAAUUAACUUUUUUUACAUUUUGCGUACACGUUUGGGACUUUCAGCAAAAUGUAAUGACCGCAGAACUGCGUAGCAAACUAAUGAAGAAAACUGGACAAUGAAUGUGUAUUAAAUUGUGAAGGAAUUUUACAUACUGUUACAUAAUUUGUUACAAAUAUUUAAAAACUCUAUUUAAAAAAAUCAGUUCUAAUUUAUAAAAUCUUAGCUUUUGUCUCAUGAUUUCUUUUAACUGUGGCAUUAGACUUAUUUGACUAGAUGUACAGUACAUUAAUGGUGUUGCAUAUUUUAAUUUGUGAUUUUUCACACAUAAAAUACUAACAUCUGAAGACUAAAGCUUAUUUUUGACUU